rnacentral:rRNA from 1 species
AUUGAACGCUGGCGGCAGGCCUAACACAUGCAAGUCGAGCGGAUGAAGGGAGCUUGCUCCUGGAUUCAGCGGCGGACGGGUGAGUAAUGCCUAGGAAUCUGCCUGGCAGUGGGGGAUAACGUCCGGAAACGGGCGCUAAUACCGCAUACGUCCUGAGGGAGAAAGUGGGGGAUCUUCGGACCUCCCGCUAUCGCAUGAGCCUAGGUCGGAUUAGCUAGUUGGUGGGGUAAAGGCCUACCAAGGCGACGAUCCGUAACUGGUCUGAGAGGAUGAUCAGUCACACUGGAACUGAGACACGGUCCAGACUCCUACGGGAGGCAGCAGUGGGGAAUAUUGGACAAUGGGCGAAAGCCUGAUCCAGCCAUGCCGCGUGUGUGAAGAAGGUCUUCGGAUUGUAAAGCACUUUAAGUUGGGAGGAAGAGCAGUAAGUUAAUACCUUGCUGUUUUGACGGUACCAACAGAAUAAGCACCGGCUAACUUCGUG